rnacentral:lncRNA from 1 species
UUGGCGCUUCAGGGUGUUGUCGUUGGCCACAUUCACUAAAAACGAGGUUGUUGGAACGACCGAAAGCCAUAAUUGGCUUGCUACCUUUUCACAAAUGAAAUUGUGCGUGGAGCUGCUAUCGAUGAUAAUGACUACUUCCUGAUGUCCGAUGGUGGCGGGGACUCGCAUGGUGUGAGCUGGUGUCCAACCCUUAAAGGUGUAUAAGGAGAUUUUGGGCUCAGGACCAUCUGUUUCUUUGUCUUCUUCGCUGCAUCCUUCAAGUAGCAAGAGCUACGGUUUGCGACAACGGUGGCUAG